AUCUUGGAAUUGAAAUGACAAUGUGUAUAGAAAAAUAAAAGAAAGAUAAAAGAGUACAAUGUACAUUUCAUAUAUUAGCCUGAAGCUGCAACACAAAGGGACAGCUUCGAUUAGUCUACUUACUACAUAAUAGUUACACUAUACAUUAUAAAUGACCGGAAAACCAGAAAACGCAUGAAUUUUGACUCUGGCAUUAUAUAUGAGACUGACCUCUAUCAAUCACAAACUCCCAACAACAUAUAGU
rnacentral:misc_RNA from 1 species